rnacentral:rRNA from 1 species
AGGACGAACGCUGGCGGCGUGCUUAACACAUGCAAGUCGAGCGGAAAGGCCUUUCGGGGUACUCGAGCGGCGAACGGGUGAGUAACACGUGAGUAAUCUGCCCAUCGCUUCAGGAUAGCCAUCGGAAACGGUGAUUAAUACUGGAUAUGACAUUCCUUCGCAUGUUGGGGUGUGGAAAGUUUUUUCGGCGGUGGAUGUGCUCGCGGCCUAUCAGCUUGUUGGUGGGGUAAUGGCCUACCAAGGCUUUGACGGGUAGCCGGCCUGAGAGGGUGACCGGCCACACUGGGACUGAGACACGGCCCAGACUCCUACGGGAGCAGCAGUGGGGAAUAUUGGACAA